UACGUAGGGUGCAAGCGUUAAUCGGAAUUACUGGGCGUAAAGCGUGCGCAGGCGGUUAUGUAAGACAGGUGUGAAAUCCCAGGGCUUAACCUUGGAACUGCAUUUGUGACUGCAUAGCUAGAGUACGGUAGAGGGGGAUGGAAUUCCGCGUGUAGCAGUGAAAUGCGUAGAUAUGCGGAGGAACACCGAUGGCGAAGGCAAUCCCCUGGACCUGUACUGACGCUCAUGCACGAAAGCGUGGGGAGCAAACGGG
rnacentral:rRNA from 1 species